rnacentral:misc_RNA from 1 species
GUUGAAUUUUGGGGUUUCUCUUUUGCAAUUUGCUGUGAUUGAAAUUUUGGCUUUGUUGGGUAAUUGGUUUUGAUUCUAUGUAAUUACUUGAAGCUUGUUGCAUAUGAGUGUUGGUUUCCUUUUUCUGUAUGGAGAAAUGUUGGGCAUUUGAUUGAAAAAUCAAUUAGUGUAGACUUCUAUGAAUUUGAAGUCUAAAUAAAUAGA